CGCCAUGGGCGCAGCCUGAUGCAGCGACGCCGCGUGAGGGAUGACGGCCUUCGGGUUGUAAACCUCUUUCAGUAGGGAAGAAGCGAAAGUGACGGUACCUGCAGAAGAAGCGCCGGCUAACUACGUGCCAGCAGCCGCGGUAAUACGUAGGGCGCAAGCGUUAUCCGGAAUUAUUGGGCGUAAAGAGCUCGUAGGCGGUUUGUCGCGUCUGCCGUGAAAGUCCGGGGCUCAACUCCGGAUCUGCGGUGGGUACGGGCAGACUAGAGUGAUGUAGGGGAGACUGGAAUUCCUGGUGUAGCGGUGAAAUGCGCAAAUAUCAGGAGGAACACCGAUGGCGAAGGCAGGUCUCUGGGCAUUAACUGACGCUGAGGAGCGAAAGCAUGGGGAGCGAACAGGAUUAGAUACCCUGGUAGUCCAUGCCGUAAACGUUGGGCACUAGGUGUGGGGGACAUUCCACGUUUUCCGCGCCGUAGCUAACGCAUUAAGUGCCCCGCCUGGGGAGUACGGCCGCAAGGCUAAAACUCAAAUGAAAUUGACGGA
rnacentral:rRNA from 1 species